rnacentral:lncRNA from 1 species
AGGCAUGGUGGCAGGUGCCUGUAAUCCCAGCUACUUGGGAGGCUGAGGCAGGAGAAUCACUUGAACCCAGGAGGCAGAGGCUGCAGUGAGCCAAGAUCAUGCCAUUGCAUUCCUGCCUGGGUGACAGGGCAAGACUCUUUCUCAACAAAAAAAUAAAUAAAAAUAACAGUAGCUGAAAUCUACUAAUUUUUAACUCUGUUCCAGGCAUUGUGGAUAAAGUUAUAUAAAAUGAAAAACUGAAAACUGAUAAUGCAAAGCUAAAUAGACUGGCUCUCAAAAAUCAUUUUCCCCAGCAUAAAAAUGGGUCUGCUUUUGGAUACUGCAGAGAUUCGAGUGAUUUAAUUAACAAUGCAUCUUUUUAAAUUUUUAUAUAAAAUAAUUUAAAACAUUAUAAUCAUAUAUAAGCAGAGAAAAUAGUUAAGACUUAAGCUUUAUCCUUAACUCAUUCUGAAAACAAACAACUUUUAAAAAUAAUUUGCAUCUUGACUGCUCUGCCUAUGCAGUGCCAUUCUUUUACUCCUUUACU